rnacentral:lncRNA from 1 species
CGGGUUCCGGAAAGCGGGUGGCGCAGGCGGGGAGCGCGUCAGGGAGCGGCCCUGGCUGCGGGGUCGCGGCCUUGGAGAGAUGAUGCGGGGCGCAGGACGAUUCACGAUCCCAGGUGGACUUGCGCGCUCGAAACCAGCGAUCACAGGGCCCAAAUGGAAACCAGAGAGCUCCGAAUAGGCCACAGCGGUCAGUUACCCAGGACUGCAGAGACACCCUUCACUCCUGCAUGCGUUUGAUCUGACUCCACCAGAAGGUCCAGUCGCCAACGCCUAGCUGAGGUCCCAGGCCAGGCCUUACCCCCAACCCCUACCCUCUCAGCCUCCAAUUGAAAGAAGGCCUGCCGGCUCCAACUCAAUUAGCACAAAGGCGGCGGCGGGCACCCUGGUCUGUGCCGCAGGGCAGGGAGCGUCCUGGCGGGCAGGUAGAGAGAAGUCCGCUAGCCCCGGGUGUUAUCAGCAAGCGGCUUAAUCAGGAAUUUGAGCUGACAACGUGCGCACCGCCACCCGGCUCCGCCAGCCGGUUGACGGUGGGAGUGAGACCCGAGAGGCUGGAGUCCCAGACUUCAAAGCUGCCCGAGGUGCGGCGGCCUUGGGGAAGGGGGCGCCCGGCGACAAUCGGCAACCCCGAGCGCCGCCUGGACAGAAGCCGGCGGGCCAGUGGGCGCUGGACCAUCUUCCCUGCGAAUACAAUGCAGCUGUCUUCAGACACACACUAGAAGAGUGCAGUGGACUCCAUUACAGAUGGCUGUGAGCCACCAUGUGGUUGCUGGUAAUUGAACUCAGGACCUCUGGAAGAGCAAUCUGUGCUCUUAACUGCUGAGCCACCUCUCCAGUUCCCACCACCACCAUGCCCGCUCGGCCCCCCAGACAUCACACAAAGAAGAAAACGACAAGGCAGACCAACAGAUGAACAGGAUCCAGAGUGACCAGAACCAGACCAGAUGUCCCAUGAUGACAUCACAGGAGGGACCGACAUUGUGGGAAUGGUGCUUGAAGAUGAUGGUGACACUUUCUGGGAAGACCUUCCCGGAUCUCCAGAGGUCCAAAUUUGCAUGGUGAGUCCCAACCUCCACCACUGGUCUUUGUGCCCUCCUGGUAGAGCUGUGCCCUGCCCGUGUGGUUAUAAUGGGGCCAUCACAUGUGUGUAGAGGAUGAAGACAGCCACAGUGACAUGCCGGACAUUUAUUAUGCAUCAGUAGUCUCCAUCCACUGUGCCCACAGCACCCACUUGAGAGUCACUCCUAGCUGACAUGGUACCUCAACUGGAAUCCUCUAUCCAAGGAUCUUGUGGACCACAUGAGGCUAAUUAGAAUAUGCUCUUCUCUGCGGCUGCUGGUCAGGGAUGAGCGCUCUCCCAUGUCUGCUUCUGUUAGCCGUGAAUGAGUCUGCCUUCUUUUUAAGGAAUGAAUAUAUAUUCUUUGAUGGUUCCAUACAUGUACACAUGUACUGUCUGUUGAUUAUAUUUUACGCCACACCCCUUACUCCCCCAUGUCUUCCCAAAAUCUCUUCUCUCUCCUCUCUUCUCCCUCCCCUCCAUCCUCUUCCUUCUCCUCCUCCUCUUCUUUAAAACCACACCCAGUCCAGUGAGUGUUGCCUGAACACACAUGGGCAUUGAGCCAUCCCAGGGACUUGGGCAACCUACCAGCAGUCAUCCAUACCUUUGGAGAAGCUCGGCCGUCCUUCCUUGGAAGCAUCCAUUGGCCUAUGACCUCCGGACCCACAGCUUUUGACUAGGUGCAUGGCACUAGAUUUGUGUUCCCUCCUCUGAAGCAGACCUCAGAUCCCGUCAGAAAACGGGUGGCUCCCACAACCACCAUGCCUCUAUGGCACUGGUAGCAGGGCUUGCUUUGGCUUUGUUCCUUAACUUCCAGCUACCUUGAGAUCUUCUAGGCAGCUCCCCUGCAGCCAGAGGACCAGCUAUUCAGCUGCGUGUGACAGAUGACAAUGUUCCUUCCCCUACCCGCCUGCCCACCCAGAGCUCUGACCUGGUGUCAGCCUCUUGUGCUGAAUGGAGGCAUCUACAGCUGCUGGGUGAGUACUCUGAAUUCCCUGAUGUCAAAAUGACGCUCGGGAAUGUGCCAGCCUCAUGAGUCUGUUGGUCUGUCUCACUCAUUCACUCCAUCAGCUGAGGGUGGGAUCUGAACAGAUCCGGUUAUGCAUCAUGUAUAUCACUGGGAUGUGUACCGAGAGUCACCAUGGAAACCUGGGUAUGGGACUCAGAGUCACCAUGGAAACCAGCCACUGGGUAUGCCUGUCAGGAAGCUUCUAGAGUGUGUUCACGGAAGUGGGAAGAGCCACCCUGCGUGUUGGCAGUGCCAUCUCUUCGUGAUCUGGGGUCCUGGACAGAAUGAAAAGGAGCAAGCAAGUGGAGUACCAGCAGUCACCCCUCUCUGCUUCCUGACUGUGGGUGCCAUGUGACCAGCUGUUUCAUGUUCCUGCCACUGUGCCUCCCCGCCAUGACGGACUGUGCACGCUCACACUGUGAGCCAGCGCGAACCCUUCCUUCUUUAAGGUGCUUUUUGUUACAGCGGUGAGACGACGGCUAAUAUGCUGCAGAAACACGUGCACGGUGUGCAGGGCUCACGUGGACGACACAAUCCCUGCUGCAUCUCAUUUGACUAGCUCUCAGCAUCUGCUUCAGCCGCUCUUCUAGGAAACCACUCUUAUUCUUCUGGACUCUCUUUUGCUCAUAAAUUAAAAUGCAAAUUCUAUCA